rnacentral:rRNA from 1 species
UGCGUAGGCGGACAUGAAAGUGUUUUGUGAAAUCCCCCGGCUUAACCGGGGAAUUGCUUGGCAAACUACAUGUCUUGAGGCAAGUAGGGGUGUGUGGAACUCUUGGUGGAGCGGUGGAAUGCGUAGAUAUCAAGAGGAACGCCGAAGGUGAAGACAGCACACUGGACUUGUACUGACGCUGAGGCACGAAAGCGUGGGGAGCAAACA